GUUUUGUUUACGACUGGUGAAAAAAUGAGAAAAAAAAAUCAAAGACUAAAUUAUCGUUGCCGGCUCGUGUGUAAUUUCGUGUUUUGUCUUUAUCCUUACGCGUGAAAAGUUUUACGGCAGUCUUGUCUUUUUGGAUUACAGAAAGUUGUUCUUUAAUCGGCUGAUUAAUGUUGACGCUGCUAGUGGACGGACAUCGGAAAAACGCAGGAAUUAUCAAAUCUAUAUGACUUUAAUUAAAUCAUCAAAAUGUACGCCUAAGUUUGGAAGAUGAUAUUAGAAUUUCCAAAUCAUUGUCUGAUUCCAUUUAAGGUCAGCUUACGAAUUUUGCAAAGACCUGCUUCCUAGAUAUGAAGGUUUACAGAACGUGACGGAACUGGAGUAUACAAUGACUCCGGAAAGCUGCUGCAUGUCGAACUUAAUGGAGAUAAGGACAACCAAAGGCUCGCAUCGGAUUUCGUAAGCACAUUUCAGAUGAACCUUUAUAAUACGGUCGAAGGAAAUAACUCAACGAGACACUCCUAUGACGAGGUAGAAGUGAUCUGAGAAAAUCAACUAGUUGUACGAGCAGAACCUAAGUUUAAGGUGAACGAUAACGACAGCAGAUCUUAAGACAUGCCACAAUUUGGCAUGUAAUAAACUAAAUGAAAGAAAUGCAUAGAUUUAAAAUUAAAUUAGAAUCAAAAUAAAAUCACAAUCAAAAUUAAAUUUGAAACUUAAUUGAAGUCGAAUUGCAUCCUUUACAUGUCCAAAACAAAAACAAAUAAUCCAAAUCUAAUUUAAUUAAAACUAAUUGAUAUUCAUCAGAAUUAAACUAAAUUUACAAUUUUUUGCUUUACAAAUUAUUUUAAUAACAGAGACAAAUCUACGUUUCUUGUGAGAUGCAAAACAUGAUUUACAUAAUUACAAAACAUAAUUACACUUUAUAAUAUCAAUUCAAUAUUACAAAGUGUAAUGAUGUAUUGUAAAGAUGUAAAUUAUUUGUAAUUGCAUCUCACAAGAAAUGCGGAUUUUUUUUAUCUUUUUGUAAAAUUAAUUGUAAAACAUGUAAUAUAUUGUAUUUCUAUUGUAAAACUGAAGUGAAAAUUCAUUCUUAAACCUGUUGUAUUUCUUACGUAAAACAAUAAAUAAAAUAUAGAAAAACAUUUAAAACACAUUGUUUUCUAUUGUUCCGUCCUUAGAAAUCAUCCAAUUGAAGAACCGUAAAAUCAAUUGUUUUGCUCUGAAUUUUGUAUGGAAAAUUUUCGAAAUUUUUAUUGUAAAGAUACAUAACAACCCCCAUUUUUUAUUGUAAAAGUCCCAUUUACAAUUCAUUUUAUCGUGCAAAACA